AUUGAACGCUGGCGGCAUGCCUUACACAUGCAAGUCGAACGGCAGCACGGGAGCAAUCCUGGUGGCGAGUGGCGAACGGGUGAGUAAAGUAUCGGAACGUGCCCAGUCGUGGGGGAUAACGUAGCGAAAGUUACGCUAAUACCGCAUACGAUCUAUGGAUGAAAGCGGGGGAUCGCAAGACCUCGCGCGAUUGCAGCGGCCGAUAUCAGACGAGGUAGUUGGUGGGGUAAAGGCUCAACAAGCCGACGAUCUGUAGCUGGUCUGAGAGGACGACCAGCCACACUGGGACUGAGACACGGCCCAGACUCCUACGGGAGGCAGCAGUGGGGAAUUUUGGACAAUGGGCGAAAGCCUGAUCCAGCCAUGCCGCGUGCAGGAUGAAGGCCUUCGGGUUGUAAACUGCUUUUGUACGGAACGAAAAGGUUUGGGCUAAUAAGCUGAGCUCAUGACGGUACCGUAAGAACAAGCACCGGCUAACUACGUGCCAGCAGCCGCCGUAA
rnacentral:rRNA from 1 species